GCAUCAGACAGCAUUUGGAGACUGGAAUGAAACCUUGCCUGGGAAGAGGUGUGGUCUCCUAGAUGACUUCUGCUACUCUCUUCUACAUGCCAAGAGGCAACCCAGCCUCCUGGUGGCCAAGCCUCACCCUGCUGUAGGUUUCCUGACUGGCUUACCUUCUGUGAGAGGAGCGCCUGGACCACCUGUGUUGCCACACGAUCCAGACACACCUCAUAUUGCUGCUGCUGUGUGCGCGCCUCCAUCUGCAUCCUCUUGUUGGCCUGCUCCAGAGUGUGACAACGCUCAACCAACAUCUGAACAACAGAAUUAUUACUAGCAAGGUUCUCCUGCUGGAUGGGACACCUCUCCUCAACCUGCACAAAGACAAGCAAAGUAUUACAAUCAAUUCUCAUACACAUAAGAUUCUACAUACAAAGACACACAAA